UUGACAGAAGAGAGAGAGCAC
rnacentral:miRNA from 6 species